GUGAAUGCCGGGCGAGCAGGCGGGGAAGUACGGGGCGUGCAAGCAUGUAAUGGGAAUACAGGGCGGAAAGAGCAUGGAGGCGGAUUAAUAAGUUUGAAGUGAAAGCCUAUAGCUUAACUAUAGAACUGCUUUGAAAACGGUUAAUCUAGAAUGUGGGAGAGGUAGAUGGAAUUGCUGGUGUAGGGGUAAAAUCCGUAGAGAUCAGAAGGAAUACCGAUUGCGAAGGCGAUCUACUGGAACAUUAUUGACGCUGAGAUGCGAAAGCGUGGGGAGCAAACAGGAUUAGAUACCCGGGUAGUC
rnacentral:rRNA from 1 species